rnacentral:rRNA from 1 species
GUCCACGCCAUAAACGAUGAGAACUAGACGUUGAGAGGGUUAGCCUCCCAGUGUCGUAGCUAACGCGCUAAGUUCUCCGCCUGGGGAGUACGGCCGCAAGGUUGAAACUCAAAGGAAUUGACGGGGACCCCGCACAAGCGGUGGAGCAUGUGGUUUAAUUCGAUGCAACGCGAAUAACCUUACCUGGCCUUGACAUCUACGGAAUCUGGCAGAAAUGUUGGAGUGCCUUCGGGAACCGUAAGACAGGUGCUGCAUGGCUGUCGU